GGCUAUGACGGGUAUCCGGCCUGAGAGGGUGAACGGACACACUGGAACUGAGACACGGUCCAGACUCCUACGGGAGGCAGCAGUAGGGAAUAUUGCUCAAUGGGGGAAACCCUGAAGCAGCAACGCCGCGUGGAGGAUGAAGGUUUUAGGAUUGUAAACUCCUUUUGUUAGAGAAGAUAAUGACGGUAUCUAACGAAUAAGCACCGGCUAACUCCGUGCCAGCAGCCGCGGUAAUACGAAGGGUGCAAGCGUUACUCGGAAUCACUGGGCGUAAAGAGCGCGUAGGCGGGAUAGUCAGUCAGGUGUGAAAUCCUAUGGCUUAACCAUAGAACUGCAUUUGAAACUACUAUUCUAGAGUGUGGGAGAGGUAGGUGGAAUUCUUGGUGUAGGGGUAAAAUCCGUAGAGAUCAAGAGGAAUACUCAUUGCGAAGGCGACCUGCUGGAACAUUACUGACGCUGAUUGCGCGAAAGCGUGGGGAGCAAACAGGAUUAGAUACCCUGGUAGUCCACGCCCUAAACGAUGGAUGCUAGUUGUUGGAGGGCUUAGUCUUUCCAGUAAUGCAGCUAACGCAUUAAGCAUCCCGCCUGGGGAGUACGGUCGCAAGAUUAAAACUCAAAGGAAUAGACGGGGACCCGCACAAGCGGUGGAGCAUGUGGUUUAAUUCGAAGAUACACGAAGAACCUUACCUAGGCUUGACAUUGAGCGAAUCUGCUAGAAAUAGUGGAGUGUCUGGCUUGCCAGACCUUGAAAACAGGUGCUGCACGGC
rnacentral:rRNA from 1 species